UCCAAUAUGGCGGCGACGUAUGGUACACUGCGCACCAAAACUGCGCAGAUUAAAAAAAAAGAAAAGAAAAAGGACAACAAAGCGGAAGUCUGUUCUCUUUUUGUUGGACCGUCGUGUGGAGAGCUCGCGCAGCCAUUCGGCGUUUCUUGAUUUCUCUACAGGUGCUGGAUAAUCACUGGGAAUCACAAAUGUCUUCACUUUGGACCUCUAAUAUUUCUUGUUGUGCUCGCUAAACGUCAA